rnacentral:tRNA from 1 species
GUCCCCGUCGUCUAGCCUGGUUAGGACAAGGGCCUUUCGAGCCCUCGGCAGGGGUUCAAAUCCCCUCGGGGACGCCA